rnacentral:rRNA from 1 species
CAAUAGCGUAUAUUUAAGUUGCUGCAGUUAAAAAGCUCGUAGUUGGAUUUCGGGUGGGAAUGGCCGGUCCGCCGUUUCGGUGUGCACUUGCUACGCCCACCUUGCUGCCGGGGACGUGCUCUUGAGUUCACGCUCGGGACACGGAGUCGGCUAGGUUACUUUGAGUAAAUUAGAGUGUUCAAAGCAGGCCUACGCUCUGAAUACAUUAGCAUGGAAUAACACGAUAGGACUCUGGCCUAUCUUGUUGGUCUGUAGGACCGGAGUAAUGAUUAAGAGGGACAGUCGGGGGCAUUCGUAUUUCAUUGUCAGAGGUGAAAUUCUUGGAUUUAUGAAAGACGAACUACUGCGAAAGCAUUUGCCAAGGAUGUUUUCAUUAA